GGAAGAAUGCCCGAAUGCCUAAGGGCCACUUUGAUAGAGUGAACAAUAGAGGUUCAAGUCCUCUUUCUUCCU
rnacentral:tRNA from 1 species